UGACUGGGAAUCGAACCAUGACCUCCUGGUUCAAAGGUCAGUGCUUAACCACUGAGCAACACCAGCCAGACCUGUGGUAUUCUUGCUGAUGUUCCUACAAGACAGAAAAUCUAAAUUACAAGGAGAGUAUCUUUCUAACUUAUUUUUUAAUCCUAAAACAUUGUUAAUAAGAAACUUAUAACUGGGCAGGGUCUAGAACUGCUUUAUUGUAUUAUUAAGUGGAAUCAUGGAAUUAAAUUGUGGCCCACCAUUGGGACACUAAGGUUUUUAAAAAUUAAGUAUAAAUUAAAGAUGCUACAUUAAUGUGAUUGAAAAAUUAAAAAGCAUGAAAUAACAGCAUCACAUACGAUGUGAGCUUUGGCCCUUGAAGCUGUGUAACCUGGCUGUCCUGUAAAAGUCACCUUCCCACCUGACCUGCCAGCUAUAUCACUUUCUUCUGUAUUAAUAAGGCGAAUCUUUAAACACAGAGGUGAAGAGCAGGAAAAUGGAAAUAGGAAGAAAGAAAAUGGCAAGAAAGAGGACAGGAGAAAGGUAAGUAGAAGGAUGGGUAGAACAGAAAUGUCUUUGUUUAUUCUGGUCGCUGUCACAAAAUACCAUGGAUGGCACUAAACAACUGGAACUUAUUUCUCAUGAAUUUGGAGGCUAAAAUCGGAGAUCAAGGUGCUUGCAUCAACAGUUUCUGUGUCUAGUGAGGGCCUCCUAUGGAGUGGGGGAAGGGGUGCUAAUCCCAUUCCUGAGGGCUCUGCCCCAUGAUUUAAUCACCUCCUAAAGGCCCCAUCUCCAAAUAUCAUCACCUUGGGGGUUAAGUUUCAACAUAAGAAUUGGGGGAAGCAGGGGGUACCAACCUUCAAACCAUAGUAGAGGGGGGAAGACAGGUUUUAAAUAAAGGAUUAGCAACUUUCUCCUAGACCUCUCUUUCAAUUGUCCUUUGUUUGUAUGUAUAUUUGUAAAUGAAUAGAAGAGGAAGAAAUGGAAAGAGGAAAAGAAAAAAAAGUCAUUAAUCUGGGGACCGGUGGUGGUGGUGGUGAGCCCCUGGGAAUUUUAAAGCACGUGCAUGUAUUACAAAAAUAAACUUCUCUGUAUUG